rnacentral:rRNA from 1 species
GACGAACGCUGGCGGCGUGCUUAACACAUGCAAGUCGAACGGAAAGGCCCUGCUUUUGUGGGGUGCUCGAGUGGCGAACGGGUGAGUAACACGUGAGUAACCUGCCCUUGACUUUGGGAUAACUUCAGGAAACUGGGGCUAUUACCGGAUAGGAGCUCCUCCUGCUUGUUGGGGGUUGGAAAGUUUCGGCGGUUGGGGAUGGACUCGCGGCUUAUCAGCUUGUUGGUGGGGUAGUGGCUUACCAAGGCUUUGACGGGUAGCCGGCCUGAGAGGGUGACCGGCCACAUUGGGACUGAGAUACGGCCCAGACUCCUACGGGAGGCAGCAGUGGGGAAUAUUGCACAAUGGGCGGAAGCCUGAUGCAGCAACGCCGCGUGCGGGAUGACGGCCUUCGGGUUGUAAACCGCUUUCGCCUGUGACGAAGCGUGAGUGACGGUAAUGGGUAAAGAAGCACCGGCUAACUACGUG